rnacentral:rRNA from 1 species
CCUACGGGGUGCAGCAGUAGGGAAUCUUCCACAAUGGGCGAAAGCCUGAUGGAGCAACGCCGCGUGGGUGAAGAAGGUCUUCGGAUCGUAAAACCCUGUUGGUAGAGAAGAAAGUGCGUGAGAGUAACUGUUCACGUCUCGACGGUAUCUAACCAGAAAGCCACGGCUAACUACGUGCCAGCAGCCGCGGUAAUACGUAGGUGGCAAGCGUUAGCCGGAUUUAGUGGGCGUAAAGGGAACGCAGGCGGGCGUUUUAGUAUGAGGUGAACGCCUUCGGCGUAACCGGAGUAGUGCCUUGGAAACUGGGAGACUUGAGUGCAGAAGAGGUGAGUGCAACUCCAUGUGUAGCGGU